rnacentral:rRNA from 1 species
CUUAAGCAUAUCAAUAAGCGGAGGAAAAGAAACCAACAGGGAUUGCCCUAGUAACGGCGAGUGAAGCGGCAACAGCUCAAAUUUGAAAUCUGGCGUCUUCGGCGUCCGAGUUGUAAUUUGCAGAGGGCGCUUUGGCAUUGGCAGCGGUCCAAGUUCCUUGGAACAGGACGUCACAGAGGGUGAGAAUCCCGUACGUGGUCGCUAGCCUUUACCGUGUAAAGCCCCUUCGACGAGUCGAGUUGUUUGGGAAUGCAGCUCUAAAUGGGAGGUAAAUUUCUUCUAAAGCUAAAUACUGGCCAGAGACCGAUAGCGCACAAGUAGAGUGAUCGAAAGAUGAAAAGCACUUUGGAAAGAGAGUUAAAAAGCACGUGAAAUUGUUGAAAGGGAAGCGCUUGCAGCCAGACUUGCCUGUAGUUGCUCAUCCGGGUUUCUACCCGGUGCACUCUUCUAUAGGCAGGCCAGCAUCAGUUUGGGCGGUUGGAUAAAGGUCUCUGUCAUGUACCUCUCUUCGGGGAGAACUUAUAGGGGAGACGACAUGCAACCAGCCUGGACUGAGGUCCGCGCAUCUGCUAGGAUGCUGGCGUAAUGGCUGUAAGCGGCCCGUCUUGAAACACGGACCAAGGAGUCUAACAUCUAUGCGAGUGUUUGGGUGUCAAGCCCGAGCGCGUAAUGAAAGUGAACGGAGGUGGGAACCUUUCGGGGUGCACCAUCGACCGAUCCUGAUGUCUUCGGAUGGAUUUGAGUAAGAGCAUAGCUGUUGGGACCCGAAAGAUGGUGAACUAUGCUUGAAUAGGGUGAAGCCAGAGGAAACUCUGGUGGAGGCUCGCAGCGGUUCUGACGUGCAAAUCGAUCGUCAAAUUUGGGCAUAGGGGCGAAAGACUAAUCGAACUAUCUAGUAGCUGGUUCCUGCCGAAGU